CGUUCGGCAACUGUUGUGCCGUAAAAAUUCUCGAUUUCUGCCACAAACGUCGAAUUAGGGGCUGGGUCGUUCCGUUUCUUGACUACCGCGCUUGCCUGAAAACUGUCGAUUUACCAAGAAGUUGACUAAGCAAUAACAAAGUGACUUGAGAGGAAGUGAAGGAAAGAAGGUGGGGGGUUGACGAGGGGCACGACGAAGCAACAUGAAAAGGAGUUGGGGGGUGAAACACUCAAGUGCACAGUUGGAAAAAAAUUCCCAUUUCAUCCACAGAUACACUUCUGAUCGGUUCUCGAAUGGUUGUUGCACAGUAUUCAAUCUGCGGUAGAUGUAAUUUAACACUUUGACGCUUUCAGUAUGGCAAUGAACAUACCGCUGUUUAAAUUCUCCAAUUCAUACUCAAACGCAGCUGCACAUCUUCUCAAUCGUCCGAGUCACAACUUAUUUCAGAGGUACCAGAAGAACAACAAACAUCCCUUUUCUCUCGAUGUCCGUUCAAAGAAGUACAAGAAGCCGCGUUGCGUUACGUUUGCUACACAAUUAUCCGAAAAUGACGACUCAAAUUUCCCGAACGAUAUAUCGGAACCAGAAAACAAGUUGGGCGAAAAAGGUACCGGAAUCAAAGGUCGCACCACCGUGCAAGAUUUUGUUCAAAUACGAGACAGCUGCUUAGAAAAUGGAACCCUAUUUGAGGAUCCUUCUUUCCCGGCGGAGGAUUCUUCCAUCUACUAUAGCCGACGAUCUGCUCGUAAUUUUGAAUGGUUGAGGCCCACGGAAAUCGUCGGAGAUCCUCAACUUUUCGUUGAGGGAGCUUCUCGAUUUGAUGUGCAACAAGGCGAAUUGGGUGAUUGCUGGCUACUUGCUGCUAUGGCCAGUUUAACUCUCAACGAACGACUGUUUCAUCAAGUUGUUCCUGAAGAUCAAAGUUUUACCGACAAUUAUGCUGGAAUUUUUCAUUUUCGGAUUUGGCAGUACGGAAGUUGGGUCGAUGUGGUGGUAGACGAUCGCUUGCCAACAUGUGACGGAAAACUGGUCUUCUUGCAGUCACACACCAAAAAUGAAUUUUGGAGCGCUCUAUUGGAAAAAGCAUAUGCCAAGCUCCAUGGUGGCUACGAAGCCCUCAAAGGUGGAACUACAUGCGAGGCCAUGGAAGAUUUUACUGGAGGUGUGAGUGAAAUGUACGAACUCAAUCAAUCUCCCCCGAAUCUGUUCAAGAUUCUACUGAAAGCUCACGAGCGCUCAUCACUAAUGAGUUGCGCAAUCGAGCCGGAUCCCGAUCAAUUGGAAGCUGAAACUCCGAUGGGGUUGAUCAAAGGACACGCUUACAGUAUUACAAGCGUCAAAAUGAUGGAUAUCCGCACCCCUCGAAUGUCUGGACAGAUUCCCAUGAUUCGUAUUCGAAAUCCUUGGGGAAACGAAGCCGAGUGGAAAGGCGCAUGGAGCGAUCAAUCCCCUGAGUGGCAGUUUAUUCCAGCGGAAGAAAAAGAAGAGGUUGGUCUGACUUUCGAUCGAGACGGAGAGUUUUGGAUGUCUUUCCGCGAUUUUUCAGCCCAUUAUUCUCGCCUGGAAAUCGUGAAUUUGAAUGCUGACUCGCUGGAAGAGGAGGAAUUGUCUGGUAACCAAUCCAAACGUUGGUCUGCAAAUGAAUUCGCUGGAAACUGGGUAAAGGGAGCAUCUGCUGGCGGCUGCAGGAACCAUUUAGCAACUUUUCAUCUGAAUCCACAGUACCGCAUUACUUUGGAGGAUCCCGAUGACGACGAUAACGACGAUAAAUGCACGGUGAUUGUGGCAUUAAUGCAGAAGAACCGCAGAGCUCAGCGGAAAAUUGGUCUAGAUUGCCUCACAAUUGGAUUCACCAUUUAUCUUCUGAAAAAUCCGGAUACGGCGCCAAAACCCCUAGACAAUAAAUUUUUCAAGUAUAACGCGUCUGUCGCCCGUUCACCAUCUUUUAUCAAUCUCCGUGAAGUCAGCUGUCGAUUCAAGCUUCCACCGGGUGUUUACGCCAUCAUACCGUCCACUUUCGAACCAAAUGAAGAGGGAGAAUUCAUUUUGCGAGUCUUCUCCGAAAAGAAGAAUAACAUGGAGGAGAACGACGAAGAAGUGGAUAUCGGCGAAGCAGACGAACAAGUGACGUCGUCCAGCUCUUCCGUCGUGUUGCCGGAGUUGACAUGGAGAUUGAUUGGGUUGAACUGCAAAACGUUCUUAAUACUUCCUUCCAGCGUGAAUCUUCAGAGGAGUUCGCGUUCGAGGGAUUCAGCAAAGACGUCUGCCGCAGCAUGAUCGCCAUGUUAGACUCGGACCAUUCAGGAAAACUUGGCUUCGAAGAGUUCAAAAAAUUGUGGUCUGACAUUCAAACAUGGAAGAACACAUUCAAACUGUACGAUCGCGAUCAUA
rnacentral:misc_RNA from 1 species